rnacentral:rRNA from 1 species
GAGACGCGUGGGUAACCUGCCUCAUACAGGGGGAUAACAGUUGGAAACGGCUGCUAAUACCGCAUAAGCGCACAGUACCGCAUGGUACCGUGUGAAAAACUCCGGUGGUAUGAGAUGGACCCGCGUCUGAUUAGCUAGUUGGUGGGGUAACGGCCUACCAAGGCGACGAUCAGUAGCCGACCUGAGAGGGUGACCGGCCACAUUGGGACUGAGACACGGCCCAA